AUACGUAGGGGGCAAGCGUUAUCCGGAUUUACUGGGUGUAAAGGGAGCGUAGACGGAAGGCCAAGUCUGAUGUGAAAGCCCGCGGCUCAACUGCGGGACUGCAUUGGAAACUGGUCAUCUGGAGUGCAGGAGGGGUAAGCGGAAUUCCUAGUGUAGCGGUGAAAUGCGUAGAUAUUAGGAGGAACACCGGUGGCUAAGGCGGCUUACUGGACUGAAACUGACGUUGAAGCUCGAAAGCGUGGGGAGCAAACAGGAUUAGAUCCCCUGGUAGUCCACGCCGUAAACGAUGAAUACUAGGUGUCGGGUUUCUAUAGAGAUUCGGUGCCGCAGCAAACGCAAUAAGUAUUCCACCUGGGGAGUACUUUCGCAAGAAUGAAACUCAAAUGAAUUGGCGGGG
rnacentral:rRNA from 1 species